AUUGAACGCUAGCGGCAUGCCUUACACAUGCAAGUCGAACGGAUUGGCGAACGGGUGAGUAAUGUAUCGGAACGUGCCCAGUAGCGGGGGAUAACUACGCGAACGCGUAGCUAAUACCGCAUACUAUUGCAGUGGCCGAUAUCGGAUUAGCUAGUUGGUGGGGUAACGGCCCACCAAGGCGACGACCCGUAGCUGGUUUGAGAGGACGACCAGCCACACUGGAACUGAGACACGGCCCAGACUCCUACGGGAGGCAGCAGUGGGGAAUUUUGGACAAUGGGGGAAACCCUGAGCCAGCCAUCCCGCGUGUGCGAAGAAGGCCUUCGGGUUGUAAAGCACUUUUAGCAGGAAAGCGGUACCUGCAGAAUAAGCACCGGCUAACUACGUGCCAGCCGCCGCGGUAAUAC
rnacentral:rRNA from 1 species